rnacentral:tRNA from 1 species
GCAGUGGUAGGAAAGCGGUCUAAUCCACCGGUCUCGAAAACCGGGCCUUUACGGGCUCGUGGGUUCGAAUCCCACCCACUGCG